UGGGGAAUUUUGGACAAUGGGCGCAAGCCUGAUCCAGCCAUGCCGCGUGAGUGAAGAAGGCCUUCGGGUUGUAAAGCUCUUUCGGCGGGGAAGAAAUGGCGCUUUCUAAUACAGAGCGUUGAUGACGGUACCCGCAUAAGAAGCACCGGCUAACUACGUGCCAGCAGCCGCGGUAAUACGUAGGGUGCGAGCGUUAAUCGGAAUUACUGGGCGUAAAGCGUGCGCAGGCGGUUGUGUAAGUCAGAUGUGAAAUCCCCGGGCUCAACCUGGGAACUGCAUUUGAGACUGCACGGCUAGAGUGUGACAGAGGGGGGUAGAAUUCCACGUGUAGCAGUGAAAUGCGUAGAGAUGUGGAGGAAUACCGAUGGCGAAGGCAGCCCCCUGGGUUACUACUGACGCUCAUGCACGAAAGCGUGGGGAGCAAACA
rnacentral:rRNA from 1 species